rnacentral:lncRNA from 1 species
GGAUCUGUAAUGUAAGGACACUGGGGUGAGGGUGCGGAUAGUUGUUAGAGAAUACCUACACUGAGCGUGAUCAAUACGAGAAACUACUUAGAUGUCUACUCACUCAUCAGUGGUUGACUCGAUACUGUACUGGUAUGAGUGGUUCUUUGACUUGUGGUGUCAUUGACUAAUUGUAGUGAGGCUAUUGAGUUUGACUGCAUAUUUUCUUGAUCCCUUACUAUGUAUGUUGACUACAGUAGGUUCAAAUUCACUGUU